rnacentral:piRNA from 1 species
CAGGGUCUGGGAAGCUCAACAGG